GACGAACGCUGGCGGCGUGCUUAACACAUGCCAGUCGAACGGUGAAGGGAUCAGCUUGCUGGUUCUGGAUGAGUGGCGAACGGGUGAGUAACACGUGAGUAACCUGCCCCCUUCUCUGGAUAACCGCAUGAAAGUGUGGCUAAUACGGGAUAUUCUGGGUCUGUCGCAUGAUGGGUCUGGGAAAGAUAUUGUUUCGGUGGGGGAUGGGCUCGCGGCCUAUCAGCUUGUUGGUGGGGUGAUGGCCUACCAAGGCGGUGACGGGUAGCCGGCCUGAGAGGGUGGACGGUCACACUGGGACUGAGACACGGCCCAGACUCCUACGGGAGGCAGCAGUGGGGAAUAUUGCACAAUGGGCGCAAGCCUGAUGCAGCGACGCCGCGUGAGGGAUGGAGGCCUUCGGGUUGUAAACCUCUUUCGCCAGUGAAGCAGGCCUGCUCCUUGUGGGUGGGUUGACGGUAGCUGGAUAAGAAGCGCCGGCUAACUACGUG
rnacentral:rRNA from 1 species